AAGUCGUAACAAGGUUUCCGUAGGUGAACCUGCGGAAGGAUCAUCAUUGAAUAAACUUGAACAGGCUGUUGCUGGCUCCCUCAUGGGGGGUAUGUGCACGCUUGUCAUCUUUAUUUCUCCACUUGUGCACAUAUUGUAGACCCUGGAAUUAAAUUUGAUCAUUGUUCGAGUUGGGAACUGCUGUGCUUUUCUUUUAAACAGAAGUCGGCUUCUCCUUGCAUUUCCAGGUCUAUGUCAUUAUUUUCACAAUCUCUGAAUGAGUUUAGAAUGUUGAAAUUAUAAGGGUCUUGUACCUAUAAAUUUAUAUAAACAACUUUCAGCAACGGAUCUCUUGGCUCUCGCAUCGAUGAAGAACGCAGCGAAAUGCGAUAAGUAAUGUGAAUUGCAGAAUUCAGUGAAUCAUCGAAUCUUUGAACGCAUCUUGCGCUCCUUGGUAUUCCGAGGAGCAUGCCUGUUUGAGUGUCAUCAAGUUCUCAACCACACCGAUUCUUUUUUGUGUGGCUUGGAUGUGGGGGAUAUAUUUUGCAGGCCUUUGGAAUAUGAAGUCUGCUCCCCUGAAAUGUAUUAGUGGUAUCUGAGCAGAGAAAGCUACUACAGGUGUUGAUAAUUGUCUAUGCCUUUAGCACACUGCAUGAACAGAUUGUACUGCUUCUAAUAAAUCUCUUUGAAAAUUGACCUC
rnacentral:rRNA from 1 species